rnacentral:rRNA from 1 species
GCAGUUGGUUACGCUAUAACAUGCAGUCGAACGGCAGCGGGGGUAGCUUGCUACCUGCCGGCGAGUGGCGAACGGGUGAGUAAUACAUCGGAACGUGCCCUAUAGUGGGGGAUAACUAGUCGAAAGACUAGCUAAUACCGCAUACGACCUGAGGGUGAAAGUGGGGGACCGCAAGGCCUCAUGCUAUAGGAGCGGCCGAUGUCUGAUUAGCUAGUUGGUGGGGUAAAGGCCCACCAAGGCGACGAUCAGUAGCUGGUCUGAGAGGACGAUCAGCCACACUGGGACUGAGACACGGCCCAGACUCCUACGGGAGGCAGCAGUGGGGAAUUUUGGACAAUGGGGGCAACCCUGAUCCAGCAAUGCCGCGUGUGUGAAGAAGGCCUUCGGGUUGUAAAGCACUUUUGUCCGGAAAGAAAUCGCACUGGUUAAUACCUGGUGUGGAUGACGGUACCGGAAGAAUAAGGACCGGCUAACUACGUGCCAGCAGCCGCGGUAAUACGUAGGGUCCAAGCGUUAAUCGGAAUUACUGGGCGUAAAGCGUGCGCAGGCGGUUGUGCAAGACCGAUGUGAAAUCCCCGGGCUUAACCUGGGAAUUGCAUUGGUGACUGCACGGCUAGAGUGUGUCAGAGGGAGGUAGAAUUCCACGUGUAGCAGUGAAAUGCGUAGAGAUGUGGAGGAAUACCGAUGGCGAAGGCAGCCUCCUGGGAUAACACUGACGCUCAUGCACGAAAGCGUGGGGAGCAAACAGGAUUAGAUACCCUGGUAGUCCACGCCCUAAACGAUGUCAACUAGUUGUUGGGGAUUCAUUUCCUUAGUAACGUAGCUAACGCGUGAAGUUGACCGCCUGGGGAGUACGGUCGCAGAUUAAAACUCAAAGGAAUGACGGGGACCCCGCACAAGCGGUGGAUGAUGUGAUUAAUUCGAUGCAACGCGAAAACCUUACCUACCUUGACAUGCCACUAACGAGCAGAGAAUGCAUUAAGGUGGCCUCGAAAGGAGAAGUGGACACCAGGUGCUGCAUUGCCUGCGUCCAGCUCAGUGUCGGAAAUUGUGGGUAGUCCCGCAACGAGCGCCACCUUUCUCUAAGUGCUACAGAAAGGGCACUCUAGAGAGACUCGCGGUGCAAUCGGAGAGAGAGGUGGAAUAAGCCUCAAGGUCCUAGCCUAGGAGGUCCAGACUACAGUGCUAACAGAGGUUGCCAAGCCG